rnacentral:lncRNA from 1 species
CAUUUCCCCAUCUGUUUGCCAUGAAGUGGUGGGGCUGGAUGCCAUGAUCUUAGUUUUUUGAAUGUUGAGUUUCAAGCCAGCUUUCUCACUCUCCUCUUUCACCCUUAUCAAUAGGCUCUUUAGUUCCUCUUCACUUUCUGCCAUAAGGACGGUGUCAUCUGCAUAUCUGAGGUUAUUGACAUUUUUUGGGGCAGUCUUGAUUCCAGCUUUUGCUUCAUCCAGCCCAGCAUUUUGCAUGAUAUACUCUGUAUAUAAGUUAAAUAAACAGGGUGACAAUAUACAGUUGUGGGCACAUGUUGAGGACAGAUCAUGUAAGAAGCAUUAGGAUUGACCAGAUUGUAUUCUCCAAAUUUUAUUAACAACUCAAACAUAAUCUAGUCAGUUAUGUUUAUGACUAAUAACUGGAUGGACAGAUGCUUGUGUCAUUCAGAAUUUAUUUUCUUUCUCUUCAUAGAUACUGAUGUAUUGUUAUAAUUGAAUGAAUAAAAAAUGUUAUCUUAUUAGUUUGAGCUGUUGCUACUGAUGUUAUAGAAAGAAAAAAUUCCUAACCUACUUACAUUUUUGAUAAGCAACAUAUAGUACAUUGCAUAUAAUAAUAUUUCUGUUCCGGAGUACUAGCUGGCUUGCCAUUUUGACUUUCUUCAUAUGAUGGACAUAUGGUUUAAUGAUUCCUUGAGUAGUUACAUAAAUAAAUGAACAUAUAAAAUUGAAUUAAGCAGAGUCACCACUGAGAAUGUGAAAUAAGGAUAUUUUACGAGAUUGUGGGUAUUUUCUUUUUCUGUUUUUUUUUUUUUAAUUUAAAUUGACAUAUAGUUAAUACAUGGGCUUCCUCGGUAGCUCAGCUGGUAAAGAAUCCACCUGCAAUGCAGGAGACCCUGGUUCGAUUCCUGGGUUGGGAAGAUCCGAUGGAGAUGGGAUAGGCUACCCACUCCAAUAUUCUUGGGCUUCCCUGGUGGCUCAGCUGGUAAAGAGUCUGCCCACAAUGCAGGAGACCUGAGUUUGAUCCCUGGGUUGGGAAGAUCCCCUGGAAAAGCGAAAGGCUACUCACUCCAGUAUUCUGACCUGGAGAAUCCGAGGGACUGUAUAUUGCUUCCAUAUCUUGACAAUUGUAAAUGAUACUGCUGUUAAUAUCGAUGAAUGUGCAUCUUUUUGAAUUAGUGUUUUUUUUUUUUUUUUUCUAAUAUAAACCCAGAAGUGGAAUUGUUGGGUCAUAUAAUCAUAUUUUUGUGUUUUUGAGAAACCUCCACACUCUUUUCCACGUUCUACGUUCCUACCCAUAGUAUCUGAAGGCUCCCUUUUCUCCCAUCCUUGCCAAUACCUGUCAUUUGUGUUCUUUUUGAUGAUGGUCAACUGACAAGUGUGAGGUGAUACCUCAUGUAGCUUUGAUUUGCAUUUGUGAGGCUGAGUGGUUUUUCAUGUGCCUGUUGGGUACCUGGCAUUUCCUCUUUGGAAAAAAAUCAAGUUUUUCUGCCCAGUAAAAUUUUUUUUUUAAUAUUGAGCUAUACGAGCUGUUUGUAUGUGUUGAAUAUAUACCCCUUAUUGGAUGUAUUUAAAUGUACCCAAAUAAAGAUUUAAAUGUACCCAGUUCUGCAAAAGUAGCAUCCAUUAAAAUUAUCUUUUAUCCUGUUAAACUGUUAAAAUAUAAAGAUAGUUUUGAUAAGUGUCUUUCUUAUUCUUAUGUGGUGGUUUUAACAGUGGUUAUAACAUUAUCUGAAAGUCAAAUAUUGGAUUAAUUAUAAAGGUUUGAAGUUUAUAACUACCUAGUUGCACAUAACUAAAUUACAUUUAAAUUCUAGUUUAAUUCUCCCGUUUCCUCCACGGAAUGAACAUAGGACAGCACACAUUCAUUUUCUAAGAAGCAAAAUCUAGGCAGUUAGCUUUGUGCGUUAAGAACCUAGAAAUAAGUAAGUAAGACUUGAAUUUCCUAUCCUUGUAUAGGAUGAUUUGUUCACAAACAUUCAGUGGUAUUUCAAAAGCGUCAACGUGUGUAUACAGGAAAUAGAAAUCUCAAAUAGGGACCAGUGAUGGGA